rfam:Bacillus sp. VT-16-70 Bacillus_obstructivus_contig196.6, whole genome shotgun sequence.
CCCGUGCUACAACCGCUCGAAACAGGUAAUAAGUUUUUGCUUAUUGCAAAACGCCUGGUUUUGGCGAGUCUGAGUUUAUUA